rnacentral:misc_RNA from 1 species
GGAGAAAAGUCGUAACAAGGUUUCCGUAGGUGAACCUGCGGAAGGAUCAUUAAUGAGUUGUCAUGGGGUUCGAUGCUGGCAGCCAAUUUUUGGAUGCAUGUGCUUGCCCUAACAAUCAUCUUCCAAACACCUGUGCACAUUUUUGAGGGAGUCUUGAGUUGGUUGCCGCUCUUGGGUGAUUUUCUCACAUUCCCUUAAAUCAUUAUACGCUAUUAACAAUGUUGAACGUGCUCUGUGCCGCAAGGCUAUUAAUAUAAUACAACUUUUAACAACGGAUCUCUUGGCUCUC